rnacentral:tRNA from 1 species
GGGCCGGUAGCUCAGCUUGGUAGAGCACCUGACUUUUACCUUUAAGGGAGAAAUCAGGUGGUCGCGAGUUCGAAUCUCGUCCGGCCCA